CGUGACUAUAGACGUAUGACUAGAAGGGCGCUACUACGUAGUGGUACGAGAACGAAUACGACUUUGCUGCGCGCCGAGGCGGUCGACGUCACUUGAGAAACGUCGCAGCAGCCGACGCCGUGAAUUCAGUCGGCAGACGCCAGUCACCGUCUGGUCCGACUGUUGACGAUCCUACGACGCACGCAGUUCGCAGAGUAUCUGGUGUGGAAAACAAACCAAGAAUGCCAAGGACAGACGAGAUCGUGUCUUAUCUAUCUUGAAUGAGAACGUUCACCAGGAUCUCUGUAUUAUCAGAAUCUUCAGAGUGCAUCGUCCAGAGAAUGAUAUCGUGCCGCAAAGAGUGCACUUUUCCUAUGACACGGCUAAGCCCUCUCUUCGUCCUAAAGUAAGUAUCCACUGCAUGGUAGGUACGGAACACGUGGGAUACCCUGGACAAGGAUAAGAGGUAGAACGCAAAACGCAAAGGUGGACACACCUCAGCUCGUUUCUCCAAUUGCUGAGCUGAACGUGUUUGUGUGUGAACGUCAGCCUGCGUAAGUGACAUUUGUGCCGUGCGAGAGCUGAGUUCGUUGCCCCGUGAAAGAAGACAGGACCCAGCCAAAGCGUUUCUGGGUUUACAGCUUUACAGCUUUACAGCUUUACAGCUUUACAGCUUGGUCGACAAUCUGCACUCGAUACGUGCAGGCCCAAUGAAGUUUCGAUACCAGGAGACUCUGCAAGAAGAGGAUCAUGAGAGAGACAGUCGAUUAUGCUUUACAUGCUCAAAGGAUUCUUAUGGCUCCUUGGUAAUGUAACACAACGGCCAAGGAAAGUACCGAUAUUCGUGCUGUACCAGAUGGAAAUCUCAAAGAAUCGUUGGCCCGUACUAAGAUCGGUUAACAUUAAGAGAGCGUUCGUUGACGUCAGAAAAAAAACUGCUACCCGACCCCCGCUACUCGCCAUACCAGCUCUUACGAUUAGUUUGCUUUAGAGAGCGGACCCGGGCCUACCCUAUCGAACUACGGAUUUGUCGUUUCACUCCGGCAGAAUUCAUUACUGGCAUCAUACAUGGUCACACGCGUCAUGUGUGGUUGUAGCUCGUAUCUGUAUGGAUAUAUACAUUUACUCGCAUUUGUACUCCAGGAGAAAGGUCACUGACCUCCUUCUCUGAAAUUAUAAAAUAGCAUUACGCCACUUGCUGUUUUGACUUCGUCGGACAUCACUGUUUCUCCUCGGUCUUUUUCACGGGAUGCCCGGUCACAUCUGAAAGGAGAAAAUUUGAGCCUUCAUUAACUUGAUAGCGACAACCAGCUAGCUGGCUAAGAAAUUGGUCAAAGCCUGACACCAGACCCCCGAGAAGAACUUAGGUCAGGAUGGUAGAAAGGACGGACAACGUUUGGCUGGUUGCUUUGGGUCACGGGUCGUCGUACUCGAAAGUCCAAGCUUUCCCGGCUCAUCGGCAUGCGCAACUCGCUAUAUUGUCUAUUAACGAAAUUUCUAAUUCGAAUUUAUGAUAAUGAAUAAUGAAGUAAAGGUUAUCCACUAGCCCGUGGCUGAACUGCCAAUCAGUCAGGGGCUCUCAUCUGAGUAAAGUUAUUCGCAACAUCUUUCUUGUAAAUAUCUCUUCUGCACUGUGCUAAAUCAUUAUUUUUAAUAUCCUGUCAGUAUUACCAACCUGUGAAGAAGAGUGAAAAUGUCGAGAAAGAAAAUAUUGUAGACUUGCACUCUGAUAACCCUGACGUCAUCUGAUCUCAAUUAGCUGUAUCACUGAAAUAACUCAGAACAUGAGAAAAAAGGGUUAAUAAUCAUGUGGUCGUAUCGUUACAAGAAAUACUAAUGGGUGAUAAUGGCAGUAACGAUAGUACAAAUAGUAGCGUGGCAUUGGUGGUAGUAGCAGCAGUAGUAGUACAGUACUAGAGUAGGAGGGGACGAAGAAGAAAAAGGAUGGUGACGAGGAGUUGUCGGAGGCCGAGAAGGAAGAGGAGACGAUGAGGUGGGACGGAGGACACUUUCACUCUCACAGGUGCAUGACCGAUCGCCGAGCAUCGAGCGGCCCGUCGGUUGAUGAGCAUGAGGCCCCCAGAUCGGCGGCCUCUCCUGGCGUAGAGAGUUAUUGGCUUGGUAAGAUACCUUCAGCGGGUCCGCUAGA